rnacentral:tRNA from 1 species
GGGGCUGUGGCUCAGUGGCACAGCACUUGCCUAGCAUGCAUGAGGCUCUGGGUUCAGUCCUCAGCACCACA